rnacentral:rRNA from 1 species
AACGAACGCUGGCGGCAUGCCUAACACAUGCAAGUCGAACGAGACCUUCGGGUCUAGUGGCGCACGGGUGCGUAACGCGUGGGAACCUGCCCUUAGGUUCGGAAUAACUCCCCGAAAGGGGUGCUAAUACCGGAUAAUGUCUUCGGACCAAAGAUUUAUCGCCUUUGGAUGGGCCCGCGUUGGAUUAGCUAGUUGGUAGGGUAAAAGCCUCCCAAGGCGACGAUCCAUAGCUGGUCUGAGAGGACGAUCAGCCACACUGGGACUGAGACACGGCCCAGACUCCUACGGGAGGCAGCAGAGGGGAAUAUUGGACAAUGGGCGAAAGCCUGAUCCAGCAAUGGCGCGUGAGUGAUGAAGGCCUUAGGGUAGUAAAGCUCUUUUAACCGGGAUGAUAAUGACAGUACCGGGAGAAUAAGCCCCGGCUAACUCCGUG